GCUAAAAAGUCCUGAAGUCCUCUACAGAGGAGGAAGAGAACCAAGGGAGUAACGGGGGUCUCGGCACAGUCUCCAGGCCACUCAGAAGUUCCCUCCCACUCUUUCAGAGCCUCUGCAAAGUGAAACUUCAACAGUCUUUCUCUCAGUGAACUUGACACCUGUCCGUCAGCCAGGCCAGACUGGGCAGCUCUUCUCAUGGUGCACACAGCCAAUCGGAGUCCUCUCCCUUAGCCUGGCCUCUUUCUAGAGGUGAGGAGCACAAGAAAGAGGCCAGGGCUGAGCAUCUGAGCCAAAUUCAGGGCUGAGGAGAGCCCUGGGCAGAGUGCUCUGGAUGCCCUACCUCCAGGAUCGUAACCUUGCAGGGUGACUAGAACCUCCACCUAACAGAGAAAUCAAGUCAACAGUGUGGGCAGGAUCACACCUUCAACCUCGGAAUUAACAGGGCUCCCCAUUCCAGUCCCUCAGCGGAGGAGGAAGAAACACAGACCCUGUUGCAGAAAAUGGAAUUAAACAGGGCUCUGUUCCAGCUUGGGACCAGUACCCAGAAGCCUGCGGGGCAUAGUGGACCACCCAGGGACCUUGUCCAGUUCCUCUUCCAGCUCCUACAGGUUACUCAGAGAACCAGAGGGAUGGUGGAUUUCACCCUCCACCCAAAAAGAUUUGGAGCUCUGUGAGGUUCUGAGGUUUCCUGUUCAGCAUAUAGUUCUUGGGCCCCUCCUCUUCCCAGCUCCAUAUGUCAACCUGUUCCCCACGCCUUAGGCACGUGGACCCACACCGAAGCUGUCAUUCUGGGAAAGGAAUUGUGCUUCACGCUUAGGAAACGCCAACAAUCUCACCCUCCCUACCGAAUAAAGCUUCCAGGAGCCCAGCAAGAGUCAUUCUGAACCCCCGUGUCUACGCCACGCCUGGCUGCAAGGCCCCAACUGGGCUAUUCAAAGUUCAACUUAGCUGGGAUAGGGUCUGUCACAGCUGGAUAUCAAGUUCUCUCCAAGUACCCACGGGACCAAACUCCUCCUACCUCC